rnacentral:rRNA from 1 species
GACGAACGCUGGCGGCGUGCUUAACACAUGCAAGUCGAGCGGUAAGGCCUCUUCUGGGGUCCACGAGCGGCGAACGGGUGGGUAACACGUGGGUGACCUGCCCUCAGCUCUGGGAUAAGCCUGCGAAACUAGGUCUAAUACCGGAUAUGACCUUUCCUCGCAUGGGGUUUGGUGGAAAGUUUUUUCGGCCGGGGAUGGGCCCGCGGCCUAUCAGCUUGUUGGUGGGGUGAUGGCCUACCAAGGCGACGACGGGUAGCCGGCCUGAGAGGGCGACCGGCCAAACUGGGACUGAGACACGGCCCAGACUCCUACGGGAGGCAGCAGUGGGGAAUAUUGCGCAAUGGGCGGAAGACUGACGCAGCGACGCCGCGUGGGGGAUGACGGCCUUCGGGUUGUAACCUUCUUUCGACCCCGACGAAUUUGGACGGUAGGGGUAGAAGAAGCACCGGCCAACUACGUG